GCGGGGGUAGCUUAAGUGGUAAAGCAUCUAUCUUCCGGAUAGAAGUUGAUAGUUCGAAUCUGUCCUCCCGCU
rnacentral:tRNA from 1 species